UACGAAGGGGGCUAGCGUUGUUCGGAUUUACUGGGCGUAAAGCGCGCGUAGGCGGACCUGCAAGUCGGGGGUGAAAGCCCGAGGCUCAACCUCGGAACUGCCUUCGAUACUGCGGGUCUCGAGUCCGGGAGAGGUGAGUGGAAUUCCUAGUGUAGAGGUGAAAUUCGUAGAUAUUAGGAAGAACACCGGUGGCGAAGGCGGCUCUCUGGGACGGUACUGACGCUGAGACGCGAAAGCGUGGGGAGCGAACAGG
rnacentral:rRNA from 1 species